rnacentral:rRNA from 1 species
CCUACGGGUGGCUGCAGUGGGGAAUAUUGGACAAUGGGCGAAAGCCUGAUCCAGCCAUGCCGCGUGUGUGAAGAAGGCCUUCGGGUUGUAAAGCACUUUCAGUGGGGAAGAAAGCCUUGGGGCUAAUACCCUCGAGGAAGGACAUCACCCACAGAAGAAGCACCGGCUAACUCCGUGCCAGCAGCCGCGGUAAUACGGAGGGUGCGAGCGUUAAUCGGAAUUACUGGGCGUAAAGCGCGCGUAGGCGGUCUGAUAAGCCGGUUGUGAAAGCCCCGGGCUCAACCUGGGAACGGCAUCCGGAACUGUCAGGCUAGAGUGCAGGAGAGGAAGGUAGAAUUCCCGGUGUAGCGGUGAAAUGCGUAGAGAUCGGGAGGAAUACCAGUAGCGAAGGCGGCCUUCUGGACUGACACUGACGCUGAGGUGCGAAAGCGUGGGUAGCAAACAGGAUUAGAUACCCGGGUAGUC